rnacentral:lncRNA from 1 species
AGCGAGUGGUGAAAAGAUGACCUCACAGCCUGUGGCUGCCAAGUGGAGGCAUCAGACAUUGCUUCUGGCAGGCAACACGGCAGAGACAAACGGUAUAGAGGGGCUUUUGAACAAUGAUCUCCCCAAGAAAGAGCCACCCUCUCCUGUGUGCCCCAAAUGGUUAGGCUGCAGGUGGUGGUCAUCAUGAAAGCCACAAGGGCCAGAUCUCCACCCCAGGCAGG